AGUCGAGCGGAGCACAGGAACYUUGCUACUUUGCCGGCGAGCGGCGGACGGGUGAGUAGUGUCUGGGAAACUGCCUGAUGGAGGGGGAUAACUACUGGAAACGGUAGCUAAUACCGCAUAACGUCGCAAGACCAAAGAGGGGGACCUUCGGGCCUCUUGCCAUCAUAUGUGCCCAGAUGGGAUUAUCUAGUAGGGGGGGUAACGGCUCACCUAGGCGACUAUCCCUAUGUGGUCUGAGAGGAUGACCACCCACUCUGGAACUGASACACGGUCCACACUCCUACGGGAGGCAGCAGUGGGGAAUAUUGCACAGUGGGCGCAAGCCUGAUGCASCCGUGCCGCGUGUAUGAAGAAGGCCUUCGGGUUGUAAAGUACUUUCCGCGGGGAAGAAGGUGUUGGGGAUAAUAACCUCCGCUAUUGACGUUCCCCGCAAAAAAAGCACCGGCUAACUCCGUGCCAGCAGCCGCGGUAAUACAGAGGGUGCAAGCGUUAAUCAAAAUUACUGGGCGUAAAGCGCACGCGGGCGGUCUGUCAAGUCAUAUGUGAAAUCCCCGGUCUCACCCUGGGAACUGCUUUCAAAACUGGCAGGGUAGAGUCUUGUAGAGGGGGGUAGAAUUCCGUGUGUAGCGGUGAUAUGCAUAGAUAUCUGGAAGAAUACCUGUGGCGAACGCGGCCCCCUGGACAAACACUGACUCUCAUGUGCAAAAGCGUGGGGAGCACACGGGAUUAUAUACCCUGRUACUCCACCCCGUAAAAUAUGUCCAUUUGGGGGGUGUCCCCUUGARGUGUGUCUUCCAGAUCUAACGCUUUAAGUCCACCCCCUGGGGAAUAC
rnacentral:rRNA from 1 species